rnacentral:rRNA from 1 species
UAGCGUAUAUUAGUUGUUGCAGUUAAAGCUCGUAGUUGGAUUUCGGGUGGGUCAGCGGUCCGCCUAUGGUGAGUACUGCUGUGGCCUUCCUUACUGUCGGGGACCUGCUUCUGGGCUUCAUUGUCCGGGACGGAUUCGGCAUGGUUACUUUGAGUAAAUUAGAGUGUUCAAAGCAGGCUUACGCCGUGAAUACUUUAGCAUGGAAUAACAUGAUAGGACUCUGCCCUAUUCUGUUGGCCUGUAGGAGUGGAGUAAUGAUUAAGAGGAACAGUCGGGGGCAUUCGUAUUUCAUUGUCAGAGGUGAAAUUCUUGGAUUUAUGAAAGACGAACUACUGCGAAAGCAUUUGCCAAGGAUGUUUUCAUUAAUCAAGAACGAAAGUUGGGGGCUCGAAGACGAUUAGAUACCGUCGUAGUCUCAACCAUAAACGAUGCCGACUAGGGAUCGGG